CCCUUAGAUGUUCUGGGCCGCACGCGUGCUACACUGAGUGGAUCAGCGGGUCAGGUUGCGCGAAAGCGUUUCCUAAUCUUUAAAUCCGCUCGUGAUGGGGACUGACGGUUGCAAUUUUCUGUCAUGAACGAGGAAUACCUUGUAAGCGCGGGUCAUCAUCCCGCGCUGAAUACGUCCCUGCCCUUUGUACACACCGCCCGUCGCUCCUACCGAUUGAGUGGUCCGGUGAGGCUUUGGGAUCUGAGCGGAAAGAGCGUUUCGCUGUUUCUGCUCGGAAAACUCAGUCGAACCUUAUCAUUUAGAGGAAGGAGAAGUCGUAACA
rnacentral:rRNA from 1 species